CAAUUUUUUAAUCUCAACCCUUACAUUGGGUUUUCCCUCUUUGGGCCACAUACGUCGAAGCAAUAAUCGCGAGCAUGGGGAUUCCGGGUGAAACUUUAUUCUCCCGGUGAAACUUUAUUGUCAUAACAGUUGGAUUUAUGUUUAGAAGAAAGAAGUGAAAAAGGAGAAUAACAUCUGUAAUCGGUGCUUCCAACAUUUAUAGCAUGUGCAUCAACAAAAGGAAGUAUUUUUCUGAUGAUUUUGUUUGAUAGAACAAUGAGAAUUCAGGAGAAGAUAUGGAGGAGGAAAAUCUGAUGUGUAAAGAUGAUGGUAAGAUAGGAGUGACUAAAGUGGAACUGCCGAGACAAAUGAAGAUUGAGGUGCAUGAUUGAGACCAUAUGAAAUGGUUCAAGGUGUCCCUUAGUACAUAAAUCAUUGUUCAUCUCUUAAGCAUGAACGGGGGCGGAUCUACAUGCUGAUUUUGGGUGCUCAAGAACCCAUUAUUUUUGACAAGAUUUUGUAAAUUUGUAUAGUGAGCACCCACGACUUUAAAAUCCUGGAUCCGCCACUGAGCAUGAAGUUAUUUUAUUGUAUCAACAACUUUUGGUAGUUCUCUGCCUCUCACAUUGGGUUCCUGAACUUUGCGAUAUAGUAUAUCUGAGCACUUUUUGGACAAAGCAACAGUACCUGAAAACUAUAAUCCUCAAAUCUUUUCAAGCAUUCAGUCCCCCUUUAAUAUGUUGCCUGGGUAUCAGUGAUGGCCAUCUUGCAGCACCAAAGAGCUGUGAGAUGUAACAAGAAUUGUUCACAUAAUAUGAUGAGGUUUAGAGCAGCUUAGAUACAUGGGUUCACAAGAAAAUCUUGUGAAGGACACAUAUGUCUAUGGUUUUGAGAAUUCAUUUGCUAUUCAACAUAUGGCUAUUCAUCUCUUUUGCAAUGGUUUUGAUGUUAAUCAACAUGCACAAUCUAGAACUGAAAAAAUACUUUUAUGCUGACUUUAUUGUAUGGGUCCAAAUUUGACCGACCCCGACCUAUGACGAGCACGACAAACGACCGAGUACCUUCGAAUCGACGCCCCAAGGGAGACGACCUUAAGGCAAAAGAAGAAACUGUACGACCCUUGUAGUAAUGUAAGCCCAUUAGGGGACAUUAGGAAUAUUUCGCCGCAUAUUCCUUGUAUUUGGUUUCUUACAAUUCAGAAGGGUUUUUCUCUAGUAUAUAAAGGAAACAAAAGACC